UCUAUCCACACACCAUAAAAGAGGGGUUCAAAGGGGCUCCGAAUUUUUCAUGGUUUUUCUUGAAAUUUUUGGCAGCAAGAACCUCCUUCCAUUCCUCCUUUCAGCCACAAGGAAGCAAGGGAAAAGAAGCUCUUGGCGUGGCAUUCAAGAGUUGAUUGAUGGGGAGGAUAUCAGCCAUCAAUAGCCAUCUCUGCAAGGGAGCUAGCACCCCAGGGAGAUCUAAAAGCUUCGAUUGGUGCUUUGCCUCAUGUGGAUACCCAUAGAGGCCAGACGUAUGUGCGGCUUCCAUCGAACCUUCAACAAAUCCACGUAAAUCAGAUUUGCGGAGACCAUCUACCCGCACAAGGUGAAGAUUUGAUCUUCUUAUUGAUUUUUAAAUGGUUUAAAAGAAUUUAAUCCUAAUCUAUCAACAAAUGGUUUUAAANNNNNNNNNNNNNNNNNNNNGAACCUUCAACAAAUCCAUGUAAAUCAGAUUUGCGGAGACCAUCUACCCGCACAAGGUGAAGAUUUGAUCUUCUUAUUGAUUUUUAAAUGGUUUAAAAGAAUUUAAUCCUAAUCUAUCAACAAAUGGUUUUAAAAUACGUUCAUGUGAUGAACGAGAUCUGCGCAUGCCCUUCCGCUGCAGAUCUGAAAUUUUUUGAAAUUUUUUUGCGGCAUGCAUGAGAUCCUAACAGUGGUAUCAGAGCCAUGGUUAUGUAGAUUAAGAUUAGGAUUAGAUAUUUAAAGGCAUUUUAGAUCUGAAAUUUAAAGGAUAUGUUUGCUGAAAAUUUUCUGCAUGCAGAAUUUUCAGCUUGCUGAUUUUUUCAGCAUGCUGAUUUUUGGAUGCUUAGAUUAAUGAUUCUAGUGCUUUGAUAAUCUAAUUACAAAUAUUUAGAAUCAUAUCUUACAUAAUCAGCAAGUCAUGAGAUAAAAUAAUCAGUUAAAUUACAGAUCUGAAAAUAAUAUUUAUGCAUGAGAUACGUAUGGUGAUGGUCAUGGAUGAACCCUUUACAUGUGAUGAAAUGUUCUGCAAUGUUCUGUGAUGUUAUGUAAUUUUAAUUUUUCAGAUUCCCGCGUGCAUCUUAAAUUCAUGUAUUAGAGACCUGCAUGUCUCAUGAAAAGGAGUUGUAAUUUAUUCUUUUAUUUUAUUUAAUUUUUAAAGCAAUCUGGGAUGUAAUCUGUGAUGUGUGUUGCACGUCGAUGGUUGAUCGAUAUGUACAUCAACNNN
rnacentral:lncRNA from 1 species